CCUACGGGUGGCAGCAGUGAGGAAUAUUGGUCAAUGGGCGCGAGCCUGAACCAGCCAAGUAGCGUGAAGGAUGACUGCCCUACGGGUUGUAAACUUCUUUUAUAAAGGAAUAAAGUGAGGCACGUGUGCCUUUUUGUAUGUACUUUAUGAAUAAGGAUCGGCUAACUCCGUGCCAGCAGCCGCGGUAAUACGGAGGAUCCGAGCGUUAUCCGGAUUUAUUGGGUUUAAAGGGAGCGUAGAUGGGUUGUUAAGUCAGUUGUGAAAGUUUGCGGCUCAACCGUAAAAUUGCAAUUGAUACUGGCAGUCUUGAGUACAGUUGAGGUAGGCGGAAUUCGUGGUGUAGCGGUGAAAUGCUUAGAUAUCACGAGGAACACCAGUGGCGAAGGCAGCUUACUGAACUGUCACUGACAUUGAUGCUCGAAAGUGUGGGGAGCAAACAGGAUUAGAUACCCGUGUAGUC
rnacentral:rRNA from 1 species